rnacentral:rRNA from 1 species
GUUUAGAUCCCUGGCUCAGGACGAACGCUGGCGGCGUGCUUAACACAUGCAAGUCGAACGGAAAGGACCCUUACGGGUAACUACGAGUGGCGAACGGGUGAGUAACACGUGGGUAACCUGCCCUCAGCUUCGGGAUAACUCCGGGUAAACCGGGGCUAAUACCGGAUAUUCAUUGUCUGCCGCAUGGUGGGUGGUGGAAAGUUUUUUUCGGCUGGGGAUGGGCCCGCGGCCUAUCAGUCUUGUUGGUGGGGUGAUGGCCUACCAAGGCGUCGACGGGGUAGCCGGCCUGAGAGGGCGACCGGCCACACUGGGACUGAGACACGGCCCAGACUCCUACGGGAGGCAGCAGUGGGGAAUAUUGCGCAAUGGGCGGAAGCCUGACGCAGCGACGCCGCGUGAGGGAUGACGGCCUGG